CUUUCAAGUGCACAGUUCAGUGGCAUUAAAUACACUCACGUGGUUGUACAGCCAUCACCACCAUCAGUGUCCAGAAGUCUCUUCAUCUUGCAAAACUGAAACUACCCACAAUACAACAACUCAUCAUUUCCCGCCCCCACCCCCAGCUCUACUGAAUUUCCUUCCUUUUUAAGGCUGAAAAAUAUUGCAUUGCAUGUAUGAAUGGCCCAUAUUUUGUUGAUCCAUUUAUCCAUCAGUGGACACUUGGGUUGCUUCCACCCUUUGGCUAUUGUGAAGAGUGCUGCUGUAAACACGGGUGUGCAAAUAUCUCUUGGUGAUCUCUCAUGUGAGUCUUGGUUUUUCUCGCUCUGUUAUAGACCCAGCAGGAGGUGAACUUGCUGCUCACACACAACCUGCCUCAGCCCAACCCCUUGGCCCUCCCAGCCCAGAUCCUGCUGUACCUGACCAACGAGAGGCUCGGGCCCAGCUACAGACACACCCUGCGGGUCGGAGUGGAUGGCAAAGAGGUCUCUGCGGACGUUGACAGCAGCGGCGCUGGCUUUGAGAAUUCAGGACGCGUCUCGUCGGGGUCCACGUCUCUGAACUACUCCGUGAGCUGCCAUCACCGAGAUGGGCGCCUGGAGUUCUCUGGUUGGAGCGAGCACAACAGCUGGGCCCUGCGGCAGGCGGGGUUCCCUGGAGAGGCCCGCCUGGGCGCCGAGCUGCAGAUGCAGAAGACCCAGACGCAGGCCCGUGUGGUCCUCCAAGCUGGGGACGAUGGGAUCAGCAUGGACGCGGUAGCCCUGGUGGCCCGGCCAGUGAAUGGCCCCCUGGAGCUGGUGGUGAAUGUCAGCCACACGGCACCUCUUCUCCGGAGGCUGGGCCUGCCCUUUGCCAGCCAGCUCAUGUUCCGGGAGCUCUGGGAAAAGGAAGAGAUGCAUUCUUCCCUGCAGCUGACGUGCGAUUCUCAAACCAGCCUGGUCCUCAACAUCCAAGGCCACAACCAGGCACUCAGCAAAGAGCUGCGGCUCUCCGGCCAGCAUCACCUCCCUGUCCUCCUUGGCCGCUGCCCCAGCAGAGCCUCCGCCUCAGCCAAGCUACGAUACUCUGAGGGUGGAGCCGAGGGCACAUUUGUGUUGAUGGUGGAGGAGCAUCAUUUCCACAUGGGUGCUGGGCUCGCAGCUGCGAAGAACAGCCUUACCAACAUCAUCAAGCUGGAGCAGAACUUCCCCCAGUUCCACGCCCUUCCUGGGGAGCUGGUCCUUCAGACCUCAUACGAGCGAGCCCGUGGCACCCAAGUCCUGCACCACACGGUGCUGUGGGACGGGCAGGGUGUGGCCCUCAAGGGGAGCCUCAAUGGGAGCCUCUCCAUGCCCUUCCUCAAGCCCGCUGGGACCCUUGGUCUGCAGGAUUACGUGCGUGUGUGGCCCCAAAGUGGCCCCUGGCACCCUCUUGGCCUCAAGCUGAUGCCCCCCUCCCUGUACGCCCCUCCCUGCCCAGUGGAGCUCACCCACCCGCUGCCCCUGCCCCUUCCAUGGCACUGCAGCUUCCGCCUGACCUCCGAGCAUUCAGCACGCCGUCACCAGGAUGACCUGGUUGUGGCCUGGGACGGCAAGGACCAGGUGGCGCUGUCCUCCUCUCUGCGGCUGGGGAAGGGCAAGCUGGCCGCCCGCCUGGCCCUGGCUCACCCUUUCAGCCUCUCCUGGCGGCAGGCCGAGGCCAGUGGCCUUGCUGAGAGCAGGGGCGGCAGGCAGAGCUGGCAGGUGAGCGGGGAGCAGCCACGGGGCCCUGGGUAGACGGCUCUUGGGGGUGGGUGAGCCGCGUGGCUGAGGCCAUGGGUGGGACAUCUGGGACCAUGUGCGGGGGAGGAGGAUCUUGUUUGUCCAUCAGAGACGAGGACGUCUCUGGAAUCACAGUGUCCUGAAGCUUGGAACCCCGGGGGGGCCUUGAUGCAUUCAUUCCUUCACUGGGACUGUAUUAAGCACCUAAUGUGUUCCAGGUCGUGUUGAGAUGCGGGUGUAGUCCCUGCGUUGAUAAAGCUCAUUUUAGGGGGAGGAGCAGUUCUCGAGCAUGUCUGGUUCAUCACUGAUGCGCUGGUUUGUUUAAUUGGUCACUGCAGGGGUUCACAUAGGGCAGCUUGGACUCUGCAUCUGACUGGGAGGCUCUGGGCAGUCUUCAGCACCUCUUUAAGCCUGGGGGUUUUUUUUCUGUGAAAUGGGAGACAGUAGGCCAGUGUGUGCCAGGCAAAAAGACCAGAACUCAAGAGAAUGAAUGAAUAAAAAAUUAAGAGUUGUGAUAAGCCCUAUAAAG
ensembl:lncRNA